UACGAAGGGGGCUAGCGUUGCUCGGAAUCACUGGGCGUAAAGGGUGCGUAGGCGGGUCUUCAAGUCAGGGGUGAAAUCCUGGAGCUCAACUCCAGAACUGCCUUCGAUACUGGCGAUCUCGAGUUCGGGAGAGGUGAGUGGAACUGCGAGUGUAGAGAUGAAAUUCGUAGAUAUUCGCAAGAACACCAGUGGCGAAGGCGGCUCACUGGCCCGAUACUGACGCUGAGGUGCGAAAGCGUGGGGAGCAAACAGG
rnacentral:rRNA from 1 species